rnacentral:lncRNA from 1 species
UCAUAUGAUUCAGCUCUUCUAUUGUAAGUCCUGAAUGAAGGUCAUGGAGAAUUCGUCAGAUCCCAUCAUCAGUCAUAUGUUAGAUUAGCUCGAUUUGAAUUUAUUUAUGAAUCUCUUGGAAAUUUUUUUUUAGUAUUCACAUUUGCUUUGGUCGAAGACUUUCUGAACUCAUAUUUGCAAAUUGCAUAAGAUUUCUCUUUUUCUACUA